GAUGAACGCUGGCGGCGUGCCUAAUACAUGCAAGUCGAGCGAACGGACGAGAAGCUUGCUUCUCUGAUGUUAGCGGCGGACGGGUGAGUAACACGUGGAUAACCUACCUAUAAAACUGGGAUAACUUCGGGAAACCGGAGCUAAUACCGGAUAAUAUUUUGAACCGCAUGGUUCAAAAGUGAAAGACGGUCUUGCUGUCACUUAUAGAUGGAUCCGCGCUGCAUUAGCUAGUUGGUAAGGUAACGGCUUACCAAGGCAACGAUGCAUAGCCGACCUGAGAGGGUGAUCGGCCACACUGGAACUGAGACACGGUCCAGACUCCUACGGGAGGCAGCAGUAGGGAAUCUUCCGCAAUGGGCGAAAGCCUGACGGAGCAACGCCGCGUGAGUGAUGAAGGUCUUCGGAUCGUAAAACUCUGUUAUUAGGGAAGAACAUAUGUGUAAGUAACUGUGCACAUCUUGACGGUACCUAAUCAGAAAGCCACGGCUAACUACGUG
rnacentral:rRNA from 1 species